UGGGGAAUAUUGCACAAUGGGCGCAAGCCUGAUGCAGCCAUGCCGCGUGUGUGAAGAAGGCCUUCGGGUUGUAAAGCACUUUCAGCGGGGAGGAAGGCGGUGAGGUUAAUAACCUUGGCGAUUGACGUUACCCGCAGAAGAAGCACCGGCUAACUCCGUGCCAGCAGCCGCGGUAAUACGGAGGGUGCAAGCGUUAAUCGGAAUUACUGGGCGUAAAGCGCACGCAGGCGGUUUGUUAAGUCAGAUGUGAAAUCCCCGGGCUCAACCUGGGAACUGCAUCUGAUACUGGCAAGCUUGAGUCUCGUAGAGGGGGGUAGAAUUCCAGGUGUAGCGGUGAAAUGCGUAGAGAUCUGGAGGAAUACCGGUGGCGAAGGCGGCCCCCUGGACGAAGACUGACGCUCAGGUGCGAAAGCGUGGGGAGCAAACAGG
rnacentral:rRNA from 1 species